AUGGAGAUAAGAAAAAACAAGAGCACUCGGUUCACUUGUGAGAUUUGUGAGGAUGUGCCUAGGCUAAAAAUGGCUGCCAUGUCGGUUCCAAGUGACAUAUGUUUAAAUGGAGUGUCCUUGUCAGGAGAGUUGAUUGCUGAAAUAUGUUCUCGCUGUUGGUGGGAACAUUUGUUGUCUCAGAUCGACCUCAAAUAUCAGGGGCCGUCAGGGGCGACACACACCUUCUCCCCCUUGAUGCCAGUGGCAGAUCGGCAUGUACACUGGGGUGAAGGAGAGAGAGAGAGCUCCAUGGAGAAGAACGACGUCGGCCAGCCGUGGUUUGCACUGCAUCAGAUGUGCCGUCCAGCCGGUGUGACCCACGGCGAAGACGCCGAUCCGCCGUCUCCAGGCGUUGAGGGAGGUGUCGCCCAGGCAGAACGGGAGGUCGAGAAAAUAGAACUGUUUUGGUUCGUAACCAGAGUAUACUAA
rnacentral:rRNA from 1 species